rnacentral:rRNA from 1 species
GUGGGGAAUAUUGCGCAAUGGGGGGAACCCUGACGCAGCCAUGCCGCGUGAAUGAAGAAGGCCUUCGGGUUGUAAAGUUCUUUCGGUAUUGAGGAAGGUUGAUGUGUUAAUAGCACAUCAAAUUGACGUUAAAUACAGAAGAAGCACCAGCUAACUCCGUGCCAGCAGCCGCGGUAAUACGGAGGGUGCGAGCGUUAAUCGGAAUAACUGGGCGUAAAGGGCACGCAGGCGGUUAUUUAAGUGAGGUGUGAAAGCCCCGGGCUUAACCUGGGAAUUGCAUUUCAGACUGGGUAACUAGAGUACUUUAGGGAGGGGUAGAAUUCCACGUGUAGCGGUGAAAUGCGUAGAGAUGUGGAGGAAUACCGAAGGCGAAGGCAGCCCCUUGGGAAUGUACUGACGCUCAUGUGCGAAAGCGUGGGGAGCAA